rnacentral:rRNA from 1 species
UGGGGAAUAUUGCACAAUGGGCGAAAGCCUGAUGCAGCGACGCCGCGUGAGGGAUGACGGCCUUCGGGUUGUAAACCUCUUUCAGCAGGGACGAAGCGCAAGUGACGGUACCUGCAGAAGAAGCACCGGCUAACUACGUGCCAGCAGCCGCGGUAAUACGUAGGGUGCAAGCGUUGUCCGGAAUUACUGGGCGUAAAGAGUUCGUAGGCGGUUUGUCGCGUCGUUUGUGAAAACCAGCAGCUCAACUGCUGGCUUGCAGGCGAUACGGGCCGACUUGAGUACUGCAGGGGAGACUGGAAUUCCUGGUGUAGCGGUGAAAUGCGCAGAUAUCAGGAGGAACACCGGUGGCGAAGGCGGGUCUCUGGGCAGUAACUGACGCUGAGGAACGAAAGCGUGGGUAGCGAACAGG